rnacentral:rRNA from 1 species
GAUGAACGCUGGCGGCGUGCCUAAUACAUGCAAGUCGAGCGAACAGAUGAGGAGCUUGCUCCUCUGACGUUAGCGGCGGACGUGUGAGUAACACGUGGAUAACCUACCUAUAAGACUGGGAUAACUGCGGGAAACCGGAGCUAAUACCGGAUAAUAUAUUGAACCGCAUGGUUCAAUAGUGAAAGACGGUUUUGCUGUCACUUAUAGAUGGAUCCGCGCCGCAUUAGCUAGUUGGUAAGGUAACGGCUUACCAAGGCAACGAUGCGUAGCCGACCUGAGAGGGUGAUCGGCCACCCUAGAACUGAGACACGGUCCAGACUCCUACGGGAGGCAGCAGUCGGGAAUCUUACGCGAUGGGCGAGAGCCUGACGGAGCAACGCCGCGUGAGUGAUGAAGGUCUGCGGAUCGUAAAACUCUGUUAUAAGGGAAGAACAAAUGUGUAAGUAACUAUGCACGUAUUGACGGUACCUAAUCAGAAAGCCACGGCUAGCUACGUG